rnacentral:misc_RNA from 1 species
UUUUUUUUUUUUUUGAGAAAAUGAUUUAUGUUAUGACAUUUUUUACACACACGCUACAUAUAUAUUUGCUGUUCUGAGUGUAGCUAAAACAUUAAAUUUCUCGAAAUGAAAAAGAAUGAGAAUAGUUGACCUUUAUCUAUGUUCUUGCUCUUGGUUUUAAUCUAUUUAAAAAAUAGAAGAGAGCCAUGUUUAAAUAUGGUGGGUUCUGUUAGUCUAAUAGACCCUGAUCUCAGCUGCUAAUAGCCAGCUACGGUUGAUGUGGUUGUUAGACUUCUUUUAUGUGCUUAUCUUUUAGUUGUUUACAUCUUUGUGAGCGUGUAGAAUUCUUGAAAACAAAUUGCUUUUCUUUUUUAAUUUUUUAAAGUGGCUUGGUUUUCAUGUUGACAUGGAAAUUGCUGUUUUUAUUAAUUUUUCUGUGCCUAAACUCCAGAAAGUGAGAAAAGAAAAUAUUAUAUGUGAAACAAAUGGAGUCUUAAUCCUUCUAUAUAUUGAUUGUUUGGUAAUUCAUUUAUGCUUCCAGGUCUGUGAGUUGGACUUGAUCUUCAACUUCCAUAAGGUAUGUGUACGUCUUGCAGUCGAGAUUUCUUCUUUGUAUUAUGGUUUCAUUUAACCUCCUUUUCAUUAGCUUAGCUUAGCAUUUGAAAGUUGAAUUUGGUGUAUUCCCAUUGUCAUUGAUAGUUUAUGCUGCAAUUGGCUAAUCCAAAUAUGCCUGAGUUAUUAAAGCAGAUUGGUGUUAUUUAUUAUGUAUACAUGUUACAUGAAUACAAAUGUUUCUUUGCUUAGUUGUUUGCUCCUCUUAACAUGGAAGGCUUACUAUAUAUUGGAUGAGCUUUUGAUUGCUGGUGAGCUUCAAGAGUCGAGCAAGAAAACAGUUGCCAGGCUAAUAGCUGCACAGGUAUAGCUUUUCUUGCCUCUGGUGUCUUCAGUUGUAGAUUUUUCCUUGUUUACUGAGUUUAUUAUUCAUUGAGCUGUAGGAUUCACUGGUUGAGACUGCAAAAGAGCAGGCCAGUUCCAUAAGUAACAUUAUUGCCCAGGCCACCAAGUAAGAUAUGAAAGAGCAGUUGUAUUUUGUAUUGGUUGAUUUUGAAAUGCCGUGCUGUCAUUGGUUGAUGUAUUUGCAAUUUUUCUUCUUGAUAUGUGAAAUAUAUGUUAUGCUUGUAUUUUACUAAACUGGAUAGUUAUUGUGAUUCACCUAGAAUUAUAUUUCAAAUGUGAUUCAUAUGAUUGGGGCCUCUAUCAGUUGAAACUGAUAAUUAACUCAAGUACUCUGUGAAUGUUGUUGGCAGUGAUUGUAAUUAAAUGCUAGAAUACUAAUUGAGUAGAGGCUACCUCAUUGUUAACAGAGAUUGAUGGAACUUUUUUCCCCUAAAGUCAGUUGUAGCGGGGGAGCAGGCAGGCUAAAUGGCCCAUGAAAACAUAAUAAAUUAUACACCGUCGUCAGAUCCUGAAGGAUUAAAUGAGGCUGAAUCAUUUGGUCUUGAGAGUUAUUAUGCAGUGUAACAUACUGAGAACCCAGGAAAUGGCAUUGUGGUGUAUGUUACGUUCCUUAGAGCUUUUCCUAGCAAGUUGGAGCUCUUGCAUUAGUUGUAAUGUAAUAUAGAACAUUCUUGCCUGGCUGUGGCUGGGGUAGAGAGCAAAAUUAUCCUUCAUCAGACUAAAUUAUCCUUCAGCAGACUGCAAAGGAUAUUACAGCAAGUCUGAAUCUAUUUACCUAUUGAUGACUUAGUGUAGUUCUUUUUAGGCAGCAUCUUAUGUUCUUUAAAGGGAUUAAAAAGUUUAACAUCGUGUUGCUGAGAGCCUGGAAAAUGGCAUCAUGCUACCUCCACAAGUGGAUUUCCUGGCAAGUUGAAGCGCUUGUGCUCGUAGCUGUCAUGUAACAUAAACAUUCUUGCCUGGCUGGGGUAGACUACAUUAGGUUGCCAUUCUAACUUUCCCUUUCAUUUUGUUAUUUCAUUUAAUUAUCUUUCUGCCUCUUACCAAUAUUAUUGGGUUGUCUGUGAGGACUAGAAAGAAAAUGUGGGGAUAUUUAUGCCACAGAAGUCGUUCAGUCAAUGAGAUUCUAUUAAAUGUAGGGUUUCCUAGAAUGUAGGUCCAGAAUACUUGAAUAGAAAUCCAUUUCAAC